rnacentral:rRNA from 1 species
UACAGAGGUCUCAAGCGUUGUUCGGAUUCAUUGGGCGUAAAGGGCGCGUAGGCGGCGCCGUAAGUCGGGUGUGAAAUUUCGGAGCUUAACUCCGAGACUGCAUUCGAUACUGCGGUGCUUGAGGGCUGGAGAGGAGACUGGAAUUCAUGGUGUAGCAGUGAAAUGCGUAGAGAUCAUGAGGAAGACCAGUGGCGAAGGCGGGGCUCUGGACAGUACCUGACACUGAGGCACGAAGGCUAGGGGAGCAAACGGG